CAGUAGCCGCGGUAAUACGUAGGGUGCAAGCGUUGUCCGGAAUUAUUGGGCGUAAAGAGCUCGUAGGCGGUUUGUCGCGUCUGCUGUGAAAACGCGAGGCUCAACCUCGCGCCUGCAGUGGGUACGGGCAGACUAGAGUGUGGUAGGGGAGAUUGGAAUUCCUGGUAUAGCGGUGGAAUGCGCAGAUAUCAGGAGGAACACCGAUGGCGAAGGCAGAUCUCUGGGCCAUUACUGACGCUGAGGAGCGAAAGCGUGGGGAGCGAACAGGAUUAGAUACCCGGGUAGUCCCUGUCUCUUAUAC
rnacentral:rRNA from 1 species